rnacentral:rRNA from 1 species
AGAGUUUGAUCCUGGCUCAGGAUGAACGCUAGCGGGAGGCCUAACACAUGCAAGUCGAACGGGAUUGAGAGCUUGCUCUCAUGAGAGUGGCGCACGGGUGAGUAACGCGUAUGCAACCUACCUAUAACUGAGGGAUAGCCCAUAGAAAUGUGGAUUAAUACCUCAUAGUUCUUUUGUUCCGCAUGGGAUGAAAGAUAAAGCUCCGGCGGUUAUAGAUGGGCAUGCGUGACAUUAGCUAGUUGGUAAGGUAACGGCUUACCAAGGCUACGAUGUCUAGGGGUUCUGAGAGGAUGAUCCCCCACACUGGUACUGAGACACGGACCAGACUCCUACGGGAGGCAGCUGUGAGGGAUUUUGGUCAAUGGGCGCAAGCCUGAACCAGCCAUCCCGCGUGCAGGAUGAAGGCCCUAUGGGUCG